GAUGUUAAUGGCAAGCAUAGGUUAAUGCUUCACGGGUGUCGAUUUUGAAAAGGAAAGAGGGCUAGCGACUGAAGAAUCAUGUUUAAUUUACCCGAAAGAUUCAGAGAAGAUCAUGCUAGCAAGACAAACGAGUCUCGCUAGAAGCCAGAUUGCAGACUGGUUUAUAAACGAAAGCUUAUGCACGCCUUUGAAAACUAAUGGUUGAAAUGUACAAAGAAGAGCUCGGUGAUGAAGAGGUGAACUGUGAAUCUUCACCGGAACAGGCUACAAAUUUUUCAUUUUGGUUUGGCUUGAUCCACUUUAGAUGAAGAAAGCCAAGAAUGAGAUCUUGAACCAACGCUACGUAGCGCGCCGCAACGCGCGCGGGGUAUAAA